rnacentral:rRNA from 1 species
GGGGGGGGGGGGGGGGGGGGGGGGGGGGGGGGGGGGGGGCGGGGGGGGGGGGGGUGGGGGGGGGGCGCGGGGGGCGGAGGGGGGAGGGGCAGGGGGGUGACGGGCCCGUGCCUGUGGGAUAACUUGGGGGGACGGGGGCUAAGACCGGAGAGGAGCUGCUGCUGCAUGGUGGGGGUUGGACAGGUUCGGCGGUUGGGGAUGUAUUCGCGGCUUAUCCGCUUGGUAGUGGGGUAGUGGCUGACGAAGGCUUUGACGGGUAGCCGGCCUGAGAGGGUUGCCGGACACAUUGGGACUGAGAUACGGCCCAGACUCCUACGGGAGGCAGUGGUGGGGAAUAUUGCACAAUGGGCGGAAGCCUGAUGCAGCAACGCCGCGUGCGGGAUGACGGCCUUCGGGUUGGAAACCGCUUUCGCCUGUGACGAAGCGUGAGUGACGGUAAUGGGUAAAGAAGCACCGGCUAACUACGUG